AAUAGAUACCCUGGUAGUCCACGCCGUAAACGAUGAUCACUCGCUGUUGGCGAUAUACAGUCAGUGGCUAAGCAAAAGCAUUAAGUGAUCCACCUGGGGAGUACGGCCGCAAGGCUGAAACUCAAAGGAAUUGACGGGGGCCCGCACAAGCGGAGGAACAUGUGGUUUAAUUCGAUGAUACGCGAGGAACCUUACCUGGGCUUAAAUGCAGAGUGCAUUCUCGGGAAACCGGGAUUUUCUUCGGAACUUUCUGCAAGGUGCUGCAUGGUUGUCGUCAGCUCGUGCCGUGAGGUGUCGGGUUAAGUCCCAUAACGAGCGCAACCCUUAUCGUUAGUUGCCAGCGGGUCAAGCCGGGAACUCUAGCGAAACUGCCGGUGUAAACCGAGAGGAAGGUGGGGAUGACGUCAAAUCAGCACGGCCCUUAUGUCCAGGGCUACACACGUGUUACAAUGGCCGGUACAGAGGGCAGCUAUGCUGUGAGGCAGUGCGAAUCUCGAAAGCCGGUCUCAGUUCGGAUCGGAGU
rnacentral:rRNA from 1 species